CUUGCUAGCAUUUUUUGCUGCUGGUCGCACCGCCUAGCAGCAAUGGACAACGGCUAUGGAAGAAAUGCAGACUAGGCCCAAACUGCAAGGCCAGUCUUUUACGUGUACAUAAACUUCUGAGCCAACAGCUGGAUGGUGCAAGUCGACGCAAAUGCAUGCUAAGCUGCAUGCAAACACCAGCAACUUGCCAGCUCUUGCAGCAGCACACCUCCACAAACUCCAGCUCUCUUCUGUCAAAAUGCCAGACUCUAACGAAGCUGCGCCAGCACCGUGCCAGGUCAUCAAAGAGGAUGUUGACAAAUGUGUCAGAGAGAAGGGAGCAGAGGGCUGUAAAGAUCUGAUAGAUGCCUUCCAGGCCUGUAUAAAAACCCUGUCUGAGGGAUCAUAAUACAUAAGGAAAUGCAUCUUAAUAAAAUCUUAUCAAAGUGCUUCACUUUCCCAGCAUUCCCUUCCUUGCCUAUUGCACUGGACUGAACCAUCUGAAAAACUGAAGAGGGGGUGAUGAGACUGAGCUUCCGAUACUGUAUACUUCUGUCAAUGUGAAACCUUUUCGUCAUAAAUGUUAUAACUCCAUCAUGGACUCUAGUAUAAAUCUAAUCAUGUAUGUACCGUAACAUUCUUAUACACACAAAUACAAUAAAUAUAAAGCUUAUCCACCAUA